CCUACGGGUGGCAGCAGUGGGGAAUAUUGGGCAAUGGGCGCAAGCCUGACCCAGCAACGCCGCGUGAAGGAAGAAGGCUUUCGGGUUGUAACCUUCUUUUCUCAGGGACGAAGCAAGUGACGGGACCUGAGGAGUAAGCCACGGCUAACUACGUGCCAGCAGCCGCGGUACUACGUAGGUGGCAAGCGUUAUCCGGAUUUACUGGGCGGAAAGGGCGUGUAGGCGGGAAAGCAAGGCUGAUGUGAAAACCAUGGGCUCAACCUGUGGCCUGCAUUUGAAACUGUUUUUCUUGAGUACUGGAGAGGCAGACGGAAUUCCAAGUGUAGCGGUGAAAUGCGUAGAGAUUAGGAGGAACACCAGUGGCGAAGGCGGUCUGCUGGACAGCAACUGACGCUGAGGCGCGAAAGCGUGGGGAGCAAACAGGAUUAGAUACCCGGGUAGUC
rnacentral:rRNA from 1 species